UACGUAGGUGGCAAGCGUUGUCCGGAUUUAUUGGGCUUAAAGGGUGCGUAGGCGGCCCCAUAAGUCAGUGCUGAAAUAUCCCGGCUUAACCGGGAGGGUGGCAUUGAUACUGUGGGGCUUGAGUAAAGUUGAGGUUGGCGGAAUUGACGGUGUAGCGGUGAAAUGCUUAGAUAUCGUCAAGAACACCGAUAGUGUAGACAGCUAACUAAGCUUUAACUGACGCUGAGGCACGAAAGUGUGGGGAUCAAACAGG
rnacentral:rRNA from 1 species